AUGCAAGUCGAACGGUAACAGGAAGCAGCUUGCUGCUUCGCUGACAAGUGGCGGACGGGUGAGUAAUGUCUGGGAAACUGCCUGAUGGAGGGGGAUAACUACUGGAAACGGUGGCUAAUACCGCAUAACGUCGCAAGACCAAAGAGGGGGACCUUCGGGCCUCUUGCCAUCAGAUGUGCCCAGAUGGGAUUAGCUUGUUGGUGAGGUAACGGCUCACCAAGGCGACGAUCCCUAGCUGGUCUGAGAGGAUGACCAGCCACACUGGAACUGAGACACGGUCCAGACUCCUACGGGAGGCAGCAGUGGGGAAUAUUGCACAAUGGGCGCAAGCCUGAUGCAGCCAUGCCGCGUGUAUGAAGAAGGCCUUCGGGUUGUAAAGUACUU
rnacentral:rRNA from 1 species